rnacentral:rRNA from 1 species
GACGAACGCUGGCGGCGUGCUUAACACAUGCAAGUCGAACGGUAAGGCCCUUCGGGGUACACGAGUGGCGAACGGGUGAGUAACACGUGGGUGAUCUGCCCUGCACUUCGGGAUAAGCCUGGGAAACUGGGUCUAAUACCGGAUAGGACCACUGCCUGCAUGGGUGGUGGUGGAAAGCUUUUGCGGUGUGGGAUGGGCCCGCGGCCUAUCAGCUUGUUGGUGGGGUGAUGGCCUACCAAGGCGACAACGGGUAGCCGGCCUGAGAGGGUGACCGGCGACACUGGGACUGAGAUACGGCCAAGACUCCUACGGGAGGCAGCAGUGGGGAAUAUUGCACAAUGGGCGCAAGCCUGAUGCAGCGACGCCGCGUGAGGGAUGACGGCCUUCGGGUUGUAAACCUCUUUCAGCACCGACGAAGCGCAAGUGACGGUAGGUGCAGAAGAAGGACCGGCCAACUACGUGCCAGCAGCCGCCGUAA